UAGGGAAUAUUGGACAAUGGGCGCAAGCCUGAUCCAGCCAUCCCGCGUGAAGGAUGAAGGCGCUCUGCGUCGUAAACUUCUUUUCUCUGGGAAUAAAAAGCGGAAUUUAUUCUGCCUUGAAGGUACCAGAGGAAUAAGCACCGGCUAACUCCGUGCCAGCAGCCGCGGUAAUACGGAGGGUGCAAGCGUUAUCCGGAUUCACUGGGUUUAAAGGGUGCGUAGGUGGCUUUGUAAGUCAGUGGUGAAAGCCCGGAGCUUAACUCCGGAACUGCCAUUGAUACUGCUUAGCUUGAAUCAAGUAGAGGUGGAUGGAAUAUUACAUGUAGCGGUGAAAUGCUUAGAGAUGUAAUAGAACACCGAUUGCGAAGGCAGUUCACUAUGCUUGUAUUGACACUGAGGCACGAAAGCGUGGGGAUCAAACAGGAUUAGAUACCCGCGUAGUCC
rnacentral:rRNA from 1 species